UGCAGUCGAACGGUGAAAGAGGAGCUUGCUCCUCUGGAUCAGUGGCGAACGGGUGAGUAACACGUGAGUAACCUGCCCUUGACUCUGGGAUAAGCACUGGAAACGGUGUCUAAUACCGGAUACGAGCUUCAGCCGCAUGGCUAGGAGCUGGAAAGAAUUUCGGUCAAGGAUGGACUCGCGGCCUAUCAGCUAGUUGGUGAGGUAAUGGCUCACCAAGGCGACGACGGGUAGCCGGCCUGAGAGGGUGACCGGCCACACUGGGACUGAGACACGGCCCAGACUCCUACGGGAGGCAGCAGUGGGGAAUAUUGCACAAUGGGCGCAAGCCUGAUGCAGCAACGCCGCGUGAGGGACGACGGCCUUCGGGUUGUAAACCUCUUUUAGUAGGGAAGAAGCGAAAGUGACGGUACCUGCAGAAAAAGCACCGGCUAACUACGUGCCAGCAGCCGCGGUAAUACGUAGGGUGCAAGCGUUAUCCGGAAUUAUUGGGCGUAAAGAGCUCGUAGGCGGUUUGUCGCGUCUGCUGUGAAAACUGGAGGCUCAACCUCCAGCCUGCAGUGGGUACGGGCAGACUAGAGUGCGGUAGGGGAGAUUGGAAUUCCUGGUGUAGCGGUGGAAUGCGCAGAUAUCAGGAGGAACACCGAUGGCGAAGGCAGAUCUCUGGGCCGUAACUGACGCUGAGGAGCGAAAGCAUGGGGAGCGAACAGGAUUAGAUACCCUGGUAGUCCAUGCCGUAAACGUUGGGAACUAGAUGUAGGGGCCAUUCCACGGCUUCUGUGUCGCAGCUAACGCAUUAAGUUCCCCGCCUGGGGAGUACGGCCGCAAGGCUAAAACUCAAAGGAAUUGACGGGGGCCCGCACAAGCGGCGGAGCAUGCGGAUUAAUUCGAUGCAACGCGAAGAACCUUACCAAGGCUUGACAUAUACCGGAAAAGUUCAGAAAUGUUCUCCCCGCAAGGUCGGUAUACAGGUGGUGCAUGGUUGUCGUCAGCUCGUGUCGUGAGAUGUUGGGUUAA
rnacentral:rRNA from 1 species